UGGGGAAUUUUGGACAAUGGACGCAAGUCUGAUCCAGCCAUGCCGCGUGCGGGAAGAAGGCCUUCGGGUUGUAAACCGCUUUUGUCAGGGAAGAAACGAGUUUCUCUAAUACAGAGACUUAAUGACGGUACCUGAAGAAUAAGCACCGGCUAACUACGUGCCAGCAGCCGCGGUAAUACGUAGGGUGCGAGCGUUAAUCGGAAUUACUGUGCGUAAAGCGUGCGCAGGCGGUUAUAUAAGACAGAUGUGAAAUCCCCGGGCUCAGCCUGGGAACUGCAUUUGUGACUGUAUAGCUAGAGUACGGCAGAGGGGGAUGGAAUUCCGCGUGUAGCAGUGAAAUGCGUAGAUAUGCGGAGGAACACCGAUGGCGAAGGCAAUCCCCUGGACCUGUACUGACGCUCAUGCACGAAAGCGUGGGGAGCAAACA
rnacentral:rRNA from 1 species